rnacentral:rRNA from 1 species
CGGGGGGGGCUAGCGUUGUUCGGAAUUACUGGGCGUAAAGGGCGCGUAGGCGGCCUACUAAGUCGGACGUGAAAUCCCUCGGCUCAACCGGGGAACUGCGUCCGAUACUGGUGGGCUUGAAUCCGGGAGAGGGAUGUGGAAUUCCAGGUGUAGCGGUGAAAUGCGUAGAUAUCUGGAGGAACACCGGUGGCGAAGGCGGCAUCCUGGACCGGUAUUGACGCUGAUGCGCGAAAGCCAGGGGAGCAAACGGGAUUAGAUACCCCGGUAGUCCUGGCCCUAAACGAUGAGUGCUUGGUGUGGCGGGUAUCGAUCCCUGCCGUGCCGAAGCUAACGCAUUAAGCACUCCGCCUGGGGAGUACGGUCGCAAGGCUG